rnacentral:lncRNA from 1 species
CGCCCUCCCAGUCCCUCAUGUGAUGGAGCUCCUGUUUCUCACACAGAGGACAAUGAGUGACAGCCUUCCCUGCUGCAGGGAGCAAUGACAACUCGCAGCCCCGGGCCAGAGUCCACUGGUUGCCACCAUCUGCCUUUGGGAGGGAUUUUCCAUCGUGGGCCCAGCGUUGCAAGAGGAUCCAGGAACUGUUUGUCACUGGGAGGCGUUGAUGCUGGCAACGAAAUGUAUUGAUGUCAGAAGGCUGGUGAAGACGCACGGAAGGACAGCUCCGGGUUUUGCAUAAGGCA